rnacentral:rRNA from 1 species
AUUGAACGCUGGCGGCAUGCUUUACACAUGCAAGUCGAACGGGGUGAGGGGGCAACCUCUCAUUCAGUGGCGAACGGGUGAGUAAUGCAUCGGAACGUGUCCGGGAGUGGGGGAUAACGCCGCGAAAGCGGCGCUAAUACCGCAUAUGCUCUACGGAGGAAAGGGGGGGACCCGCAAGGGCCUCUCGCUUUCGGAGCGGCCGAUGUCCGAUUAGCUAGUUGGUGGGGUAAUGGCCUACCAAGGCGACGAUCCGUAACUGGUCUGAGAGGAUGAUCAGUCACACUGGAACUGAGACACGGGCCAGACUCCUACGGGAGGCAGCAGUGGGGAAUAUUGGACAAUGGGCGAAAGCCUGAUCCAGCCAUGCCGCGUGUGUGAAGAAGGUCUUCGGAUUGUAAAGCACUUUAAGUUGGGAGGAAGGGCAGUAAGUUAAUACCUUGCUGUUUUGACGUUACCGACAGAAUAAGCACCGGCUAACUUCGUGCCAGCAGCCGCGGUAACAC